rnacentral:rRNA from 1 species
CCCCUGAACCCUGAACCUCGAACCCCGAACCCCGAACCUCGAACCCCAAACCCUGAACCCCGAACCCUGAACCCUGAACAAUAUAGGUAAGAAAAGUCAGCAAAAUAGAUCCGUAACUUUUAGAAAAAGGAUUGUCACUUAGGGCUGGGCACGGGGGUCCCAAUCUCGAUCUCGUCGGCUGUCAGUGGACUACUCGAGCUGAUUCUGUAGCAAAAGUGGGUCAUCGCAUAUCGAUCGGGGGAUGGACUAGGAACGGUUCCUUUGGGGGCCUUCCCCGCGCGUCGAACAGCCAACUCAGAACUGGUAUGUAGAAGAAAAAUCUGACUGCUUAAUUAAAACAAAGCAUUAUGAUGGUCCCAAUGUAUGUUCACGCAUUGUGAUUUUUGCCCAGUGCUCUGAAUGUUAAAGUGAAGAAAUUCAACCAAGCGAGGGUAAACAACAGGAGUAACUAUGACUCUCUUAAGGUAGCCAAAUACCUCACCAUCUAAUUAGUGAUGUGCAUGAAUGGAUUAACGGGAUUCCCACUAUCUCUGUCUACUAUCCAGCAAAACCAUAGCCAAGGGAAUGAGCUUGGCAGAAUCAGCGGGAAAAGAAGACCCUCUUGAGCUUGACUCUACUCUGACUUUGUGAAAUGACUUGAGAGGUGUAGUAUAAGUGGGAGCCGAAAGGCGAAAGUGAAAUACCACUACUUUUAACAUUAUUUUACUUAUUCCAUAAAUCGAAAGUGAGGCACUGCCUAUAUUUUUGGACCCAAGGCUCGCUCUGCGGGCCGAUCCAGGUAGAAGACAUUGUCAGGUGGGGAGUUUGGCUGGGGUGGUACAUCUGUUAAAAGAUAACGCAGGUGUCCUAAGAUGGGGUCAACGAGAACAGAAAUAUCGUGUGGAACUAAAGGGUAAAAGCUUGUUUGAUUCUGAUUUCUAGUACGAAUAUGAACCAUGAAAGCAUGGCCUAACGAUCCUUUAAAUCUUCAAAAUUCAAAGCUAGAGGUGUCAGAAAAGUGUUACCACAGGGAUAACUGGCCUAUUGCAGCCAAGCAUUCAUAGCGAUGUUGCUUUUUCAUUCUUCGAUGCCGGCUCUUCCUAUCAUUGUGAAGCAGAAUUCACCAAGUGUUGGACUGUUCACCCACCAAUAGGGAACGUGAUCUGGGUUUAGAACAUCAUAAGACAGGUUAGUUUUACCCUACUUAUAAUAGUGUCGCAGUAGUAAUUCUACAUAGUAUGAGAGAAAAUAUUCAUUCACAUAAUUUGUCAUUGCGCUUGGUUGAAAUGCCAGUGGAGCAAAGCUACCGUGUGCUAGAUUAUGACUGAAUGCCUCUAAGUCAGAAUCUGGGCUAGAAGCACCGCAUGGGCCUUUUGUCCACUUGUCAACCAGCAGUAGGGACCUCAGCCCCCAAGGGCAUGUGUCGUUUGCUAAGCCACCACGGCAAAAGAGUCACGGUGGCUGCCUUCAAGUAUAAUUUCCGACGAGCGGUGGUUAGAAUCCUUUGCAGAUGACUUAAGUAUACGACGGGUAUUGUAAGUGGAAGAGUAGCCUUGCUGCCAUGAUCCACUGAGAUUCAUCCCUUUGUCGCUCUGGUUCGU